AUUCACAUAGUUUAAUAAAACAUUACACUUUCAUUGUAAAAUUAGAUUUAUAAUCUUGUAAAUA
rnacentral:tRNA from 1 species